rnacentral:rRNA from 1 species
CCCUUAGAUGUUCUGGGCCGCACGCGUGCUACACUGAGUGGAUCAGCGGGUCAGGUUGCGCGAAAGUGUUUCCUAAUCUUUAAAUCCGCUCGUGAUGGGGAUUGACGGUUGCAAUUUUCCGUCAUGAACGAGGAAUACCUUGUAAGCGCGGGUCAUCAUCCCGCGCUGAAUACGUCCCUGCCCUUUGUACACACCGACCGUCGCUCCUACCGAUUGAGUGGUCCGGUGAGGCUUUGGGAUCUGAGCGGAAAGAGCGUUUCGCUGUUUCUGCCCGGAAAACUCAGUCGAACCUUAUCAUUUAGAGGAAGGAGAAGUCGUAACA